ACGCUGGCGGCAUGCCUAACACAUGCAAGUCGAACGGGAUCCCGAGCUUCGGUUCGGUGAGAGUGGCGGACGGGUGAGUAACGCGUGGGAACCUGCCCAGUGGUGGGGGAUAACUGCGGGAAACUGCAGCUAAUACCGCAUGAGCCCGAGAGGGGAAAGAUUUAUCGCCAUUGGAGGGGCCCGCGUUCGAUUAGGUAGUUGGUGAGGUAACGGCUCACCAAGCCUUCGAUCGAUAGCUGGUCUGAGAGGAUGAUCAGCCACACUGGGACUGAGACACGGCCCAGACUCCUACGGGAGGCAGCAGUGGGGAAUCUUGGACAAUGGGCGCAAGCCUGAUCCAGCCAUGCCGCGUGAGUGAAGAAGGCCUUAGGGUUGUAAAACUCUUUCGCCGGUGAAGAUAAUGACGGUAACCGGAGAAGAAGCCCCGGCUAACUUCGUG
rnacentral:rRNA from 1 species